rnacentral:rRNA from 1 species
UACGUAGGGUGCGAGCGUUAAUCGGAAUUACUGGGCGUAAAGCGUGCGCAGGCGGUUCGUUGUGUCGGCGGGGAAAGCCCCGGGCUUAACCUGGGAAUGGCCGUUGAAACUGGCGAACUGGAGUGUGGCAGAGGGGGGUGGAAUUCCGCGUGUAGCAGUGAAAUGCGUAGAGAUGCGGAGGAACACCGAUGGCGAAGGCAGCCCCCUGGGCUAACACUGACGCUCAGGCACGAAAGCGUGGGGAGCAAGCAGG